ensembl:lncRNA
AAUAGAACUCCAUGGAUUUGACUGGGACUGAGUGAAACAACAUGAACCGUUGGCUCCAGGGAACACUUCCUGGUCUCUUUUAUGACAUUCUAGAGUCAAAUCCCAUCCAAAGAUUGUUAACCCAUCUGGUACUAUGGGACUGUACCACACACUACAGAUACAGGUCACAGCCAUAUCCCCCACCCCACACACACACCAACACACUACAGAUACAGGUCACAGCCAUAUCCCCCACCCCACACACACACCAACACACUACAGAUACAGGUCACAGCCAUAUCCCCCACCCCACACACACACCAACACACUACAGAUACAGGUCACAGUCAUAUCCCCCACCCCACACACACACCAACACACUACAGAUACAGGUCACAGUCAUAUCCCCCACCCCACACACACCAACACACUACAGAUACAGGUCACAGUCAUAUCCCCCACCCCACCCCACACACACACCAACACACUACAGAUACAGGUCACAGCCAUAUCCCCACCCCACACACCAACACACUACAGAUACAGGUCACAGUCAUAUCCCCCACCCCCCACACACACCAACACACUACAGAUACAGGUCACAGUCAUAUCCCCCACCCCACACACACCAACACACUACAGAUACAGGUCACAGCCAUAUCCCCCAC